rnacentral:rRNA from 1 species
UACGGAGGGCGCAAGCGUUGUUCGGAAUUACUGGGCGUAAAGCGCGUGUAGGCGGUCUGGUAAGUCGGUUGUGAAAUCCCCGGGCUCAACCCGGGAACUGCAUCCGAAACUGCUGGGCGAGAGUUCCGGAGAGGAAGGCAGAAUUCCCAAUGUAGGGGUGAAAUCCGUAGAUAUUGGGAGGAAUACCAGUGGCGAAGGCGGCCUUCUGGACGGUGACUGACGCUGAGACGCGAAAUCGUGGGGAUCAAACAUG